UGCAGUCGAGCGGAGUGAUGGUGCUUGCACUAUCACUUAGCGGCGGACGGGUGAGUAAUGCUUAGGAAUCUGCCUAUUAGUGGGGGACAACAUUUCGAAAGGAAUGCUAAUACCGCAUACGUCCUACGGGAGAAAGCAGGGGAUCUUCGGACCUUGCGCUAAUAGAUGAGCCUAAGUCGGAUUAGCUAGUUGGUGGGGUAAAGGCCUACCAAGGCGACGAUCUGUAGCGGGUCUGAGAGGAUGAUCCGCCACACUGGGACUGAGACACGGCCCAGACUCCUACGGGAGGCAGCAGUGGGGAAUAUUGGACAAUGGGCGCAAGCCUGAUCCAGCCAUGCCGCGUGUGUGAAGAAGGCCUUAUGGUUGUAAAGCACUUUAAGCGAGGAGGAGGCUACUGAAGUUAAUACCUUCAGAUAGUGGACGUUACUCGCAGAAUAAGCACCGGCUAACUCUGUGCCAGCAGCCGCGGUAAUACAGAGGGUGCAAGCGUUAAUCGGAUUUACUGGGCGUAAAGCGCGCGUAGGCGGCUAAUUAAGUCAAAUGUGAAAUCCCCGAGCUUAACUUGGGAAUUGCAUUCGAUACUGGUUAGCUAGAGUGUGGGAGAGGAUGGUAGAAUUCCAGGUGUAGCGGUGAAAUGCGUAGAGAUCUGGAGGAAUACCGAUGGCGAAGGCAGCCAUCUGGCCUAACACUGACGCUGAGGUGCGAAAGCAUGGGGAGCAAACAGGAUUAGAUACCCUGGUAGUCCAUGCCGUAAACGAUGUCUACUAGCCGUUGGGGCCUUUGAGGCUUUAGUGGCGCAGCUAACGCGAUAAGUAGACCGCCUGGGGAGUACGGUCGCAAGACUAAAACUCAAAUGAAUUGACGGGGGCCCGCACAAGCGGUGGAGCAUGUGGUUUAAUUCGAUGCAACGCGAAGAACCUUACCUGGCCUUGACAUAGUAAGAACUUUCCAGAGAUGGAUUGGUGCCUUCGGGAACUUACAUACAGGUGCUGCAUGGCUGUCGUCAGCUCGUGUCGUGAGAUGUUGGGUUAAGUCCCGCAACGAGCGCAACCCUUUUCCUUAUUUGCCAGCGAGUAAUGUCGGGAACUUUAAGGAUACUGCCAGUGACAAACUGGAGGAAGGCGGGGACGACGUCAAGUCAUCAUGGCCCUUACGGCCAGGGCUACACACGUGCUACAAUGGUCGGUACAAAGGGUUGCUACCUAGCGAUAGGAUGCUAAUCUCAAAAAGCCGAUCGUA
rnacentral:rRNA from 1 species